rnacentral:rRNA from 1 species
UAAGAAUUUAAAAGUCGAACAGACUUAUUACCAAGAAAGCUGCUUCUCAAAAUUUUCUUAAUUCAACAUCGAGGUCGCAAAAUACAAUAUAGAUAUGAACUCCCCAUUGAAAUUACGCUGUUAUCCCUAAGGUAACUUAAUCUUAUUAUCCAUUUUUAGGAUCUAAAAUAACAUACAUAAAUGAGUUUAAAAACUAAAGUUAAUUUAUUUAGCCACCACCCCAGCAAAAUAUAAAUACAUAUUAAAAAAUAUUUAAAUAAAAAUUAAUAAUAUAAAAUUAUAUAAAGUUCUACAGGGUCUUAUCGUCCCAAUAAGUCAAUAAAGCAUUUUAACUUUAAAUUUAAAUUUUAACACUUAAAAAAAUAAAACAUAAUUCUCAUACAUCCAUUCAUACAAGCUUCCAAUUAAAAAACUAAUUACUAUGCUACCUUUGCACAGUCAAAAUACUGCAGCCAUUUAGAAAUCUAAACCAUAGGGCAGAAGAUACUUUUUAUAAAAACA